UCACGGAUGAUGGCGGCCAUGGCGGUGAACGGGGCGCCGGGCACCUCAAACUCGGGCCCUGCGGCGGCCUCGGGUGCAGUCCUGCAGGUCGCAGCCGGCAUGUACGAGCAACUUAAGGGCGAAUGGAACCGUAAAACCCCAAUCUUAGCAAGUGCGGUGAAGAGCUGGGCUGUCUCAAGCUGGUUCUGCUGGAGCUCAACUUCUUGCCAACCACAGGGACCAAACUGACCAAACAGCAGCUCAUUCUGGCCCGUGACAUUCUGGAGAUUGGGGCCCAGUGGAGCAUCCUGCGCAAGGACAUCCCCUCCUUCGAGCGCUACAUGGCCCAGCUCAAAUGCUACUACUUCGAUUACAAGGAGCAGCUCCCCGAGUCAGCCUACAUGCACCAGCUCUUGGGCCUCAACCUCCUCUUCCUGCUCUCCCAGAACCGGGUGGCUGAGUUCCACACAGAGUUGGAGCGGCUGCCUGCCAAAGACAUCCAGACCAAUGUAUACAUCAAGCAUCCUAUGUCCCUGGAGCAAUACCUGAUGGAGGGCAGCUAUAACAAGGUGUUCCUGGCCAAAGGCAACAUCCCUGCUGAGAGCUAUAGCUUCUUCAUUGACAUCCUGCUUGACACUAUCAGGGAUGAGAUUGAUGGGUGCAUCGAGAAGGCCUAUGAGAAAAUCCUUUUCACUGAGGCCACCCGGAUCCUCUUCUUCAACACGCCCUAAAAGAUGACCGACUACGCCAAGAAAAAAGGGUGGGUUCUGGGCCUUAACAAUUACUACAGCUUUGCCAGCCAGCAGCAGAAGCCAGAAGAUACCACCGUCCUCUCACGGAACUGGCCAAGCAGGUCAUCGAGUAUGGCCAGCAGCUGGAGAUGAUCGUCUGA